UCCGGUGAGACACGUUAAUUUGUGGCUACAGAUGUUCUACAGUGAGUUCCACUGUGGCCCCAAUUCUAUUGGCAGUAAAGUUGUACGGUUAUCCAAAAGGCAGUUAGCUUGUCUUUUUCAGCUUUUUCCCUACCCAACGUAUUAACCAGAUAAAACGAGUGUAGAUUCGUUGUUACGUUGUAAAUUUCUAAAUCAUCAAUGGGGGUCGAAUUGAAGCUUCACUUUUCUGUUUGUUUGAGAUCAUCAACCUCUUGGCGAGUUGGGAGGUGAUGCAUUUGUGAAUUCCACUGGUAUUUUCCAGUUUCCACAGUUUGUUGAGGAUCCCUGCACACCCAAGAAGCAUUUUGAUCUCAAGCAAUGGUUCCUAUCCCUAUUCAAUCACGCAAACAAGAGGCAAUUUGCAUAUCAGAUUGUUUCAAUCCUAUGGAAGGGCACACUUUUGGAGGGAUGCAUUGGAAGCAGAAGGUUUGCAUCUAUCAUUCUCAAACUGUUGCUUGUGGAUGAGGGAAUGAUACUAAUGGCAUGGCAAGGCUGGAAAUUAUGGGGUGUAGCAGGCAUAUAUCCUUUCAUAUGUCAUGAUCACUUAUUGAGAAUGGUUUUCUGCAUGUAUGGAUUCCUUCUACCUGCUUACCAAAACCAGAACACAUUAAUCAUGGUAGCAAUUCUUUUAGCUGAUCUCAUAGUAAUUUAUAUCUUGUACCCUGUCACAUCUUUAUAUGGUGCUGUUUCUGGUACUCUUUCUGGCUUGCUAUGAUCUUAUGGACCUCAAUUAAUAUACAGUAAUUGGAAAAUGGCCUGGAGUUUAUGUUCAUCUACAGUGAUUGAGAUGCCAGUGAGCUCUGACACAAGAGAACUGAUUUGGAAGUGCCCAUAUUGCAGAUCUAUGAAUGGAGUGUUUCCUAAUGUUUGUAGAAGUUGUGGGAUGUUUAAUGGGUUUUCUGCAUCUGAUGCUUCCAUAAUGAAUUCCCCACAAAGUUCUUUGAUAAGCCGGAUGCCUAAUUCUGAGCUUGACAGAAGAGACUUGGUUUGGAACUGCGAGUCUUGCACAUUUGAGAAUGAAGUGUUUGUCCCUGUUUGUGAGAUAUGUGGGGCACCAAAUCUCAUGUUUGAUUAGAACACAAUGCAGGGAUCAUGAUGUGCUAUGCACUUUUGUAGACUAAAUGUGAAAUAGAUCUUUAAACCCACCUCUAUAUUUGGCCUUGAAUUUCUCAGAUUUCAAUCUGUAAUUCUGAAUAUUUUCAAAUGAGAUAUCGUCUAGAUGAUUUAAUGGCUGUAACAUAGUGAAAGAGACUUGAAAAUUCUCUCAUACUGAAAUUUCAGAGAGAUGCAUUUAAUUUUUGCCUGUACACUGUUUCUUCUUGUAUAGAUUUUUGAGAUAUUGAAAAUGGUAUUUAUGGAUUUUAUUUGUA